rnacentral:rRNA from 1 species
GACGAACGCUGGCGGCGUGCUUAACACAUGCAAGUCGAACGGAAAGGCCCUGCUUUUGUGGGGUGCUCGAGUGGCGAACGGGUGAGUAACACGUGAGUAACCUGCCCUUGACUUUGGGAUAACUUCAGGAAACUGGGGCUAAUACCGGAUAGGAGCUCCUGCUGCAUGGUGGGGGUUGGAAAGUUUCGGCGGUUGGGGAUGGACUCGCGGCUUAUCAGCUUGUUGGUGGGGUAGUGGCUUACCAAGGCUUUGACGGGUAGCCGGCCUGAGAGGGUGACCGGCCCCAUUGGGACUGAGAUACGGCCCAGACUCCUACGGGAGGCAGCAGUGGGAAUAUUGCACAAUGGGCGGAAGCCUGAUGCAGCAACGCCGCGUGCGGGAUGACGGCCUUCGGGUUGUAAACCGCUUUCGCCUGUGACGAAGCGUGAGUGACGGUAAUGGGUAAAGAAGCACCGGCUAACUACGUG